rnacentral:miRNA from 1 species
AUGUCAUUCAUAUGUGUGUGUGUAUGUCUAUAUAUAUAUAUAGAUAUAUAUAUAGAUACACACACAUACACAUAUA